UAUAUUAUUGUUAUUAUUAUUAUUAUUAAAAUAUAGUGUUGUGAAAUUGAAAAUUGAAAAUUUGAGUUUUGAGUAUUGAAAAUUUUAAAUUAUAAUAUUAUAAAAAAAACUCAUAACAUAUGAUAUAAAAUUUUAAUUAAUGAUUUUGUAAAAAAUAUUAGUUUUAAAAAUAUACAAAAAUAAAAAAACAUAUAUAUAGUAAUAAAAAACCAGCUUCGUGGACAACUAAUAUGGGAUAGGGGCUGUCUUGUAUUUGACAGGCGAGCCACCUCCUUUAUUGCCAAACCAAACCUUAUUAUUAAGAUAACACCAUGUGGACUACUAUCAAUGAAUUUUCCAUCAAUAAAUUAUUCCAAAAAAAGAAAAAGACCAUUCAAAAUUGAACAAUUAACUAUUGUUCGCCUUAAUAAUAUUGCAUUUUUCCUCAAAUAAAUUUUAUUAUGACAUUCUAAGUGAAAUUUUUUUUUUACCGUAAUGUUAGAAAACGAGUUUUAUUAGUUUGAGAAUUACAAUUUAUAGGCCCAUCUCAUACCCAUUAGUAUUAGUUCUAAAGUGGGCUCAUGCAAGAAAUCUCGGCCCAUAAGUCUCCCGUUUGUGUGUAUUUUUAUCGAAGAAUUUUGGAGGGAGGGAAACUUUUUCUCGUCUCCUAAAACUGAGUGAGUGAAGGAAUAGGCUUUUAGCGGCCAGCCCAUGAAAUUUUUUAUAUAUAAUAUAAUGCAGGAAAUUAGCCUAAAUUAUUCUUAAAAUUAAAAAGAAAUUGUUUGAUUUUAAUUCGAAAUGGAAUUCGAUAAUUUCAAAAUCAUCUUAAAAAUCGUCAAUGAUUGAUUCAAUUUCGAUCUCAACAAGAUUAACUCUUAUGUUGUUUUUUUGGCUUAAUGCAUAAAUUUAAUUCUAUAUUUUCGGCGAUAAUCUUUGUGAUUUUUUGAAUUUUGCUAGAAAAUUAUUAUAACUCUUACGCUUUAACAUUUUAAUAACAUUUAUACCGUCGCUAAAAUGUAAUAUAAAAAUAUAGAAUCAUGAUUAAAUCUGUAUAAAAAUAUUUCAUUUUGACAAAAGGUAUAGUUAUUACGGAAAUAUAAAAUGCAGAUUAUAAUUAAACCGUCGCAAAGUUCGGAAACUACAAAGAUAAUCUGAGCAAAAUUUAUAAUAAAUUUAUAUAUUAAGCGGUUGUCACUUUUAUAAUCAGCUACGGCUUAAUGGAUGUCUUGAUAACAAUAUUUAAAUUCUGUCCAUCACUAAUAUUUUUCGAAGAGACGAGUGAGAUUGAUGUAGAAGGUCUCACUUUUAAUGAAUACCCUUACCGCAGAAGCUAGCUUGCAUUUGGUUAUUAAUAUUCAAUAAUUAAGGAAAGCUGGGAUUUUAAAAAAUAUAAAUAUAAAAUUUAUAAUCUAAUUCACUGAAUUUUUUGAAUCACAAAUACAUUAUCCUAAGAGAAAGGGGAAUUAUAGAAAUAGGAGCUAAAAAGCUAAAUAGUAACCUCCUCUAUUGAAAUUAUAGGCGUUUUGUUAUUUAUUUAUUUAUUUAUUUAUUAUAAUUGACUUCGAUGAAGACUUGACAAUCGUUUAGUUUUGCUUUUCUUUUUUGGGGUCCAUUUCCUUAAUAACCGAUUAUAAAAUCAAAAUGGAAGUCAACGUCUUAAUACAGUGUCAUCAAACAUACAUUAAUGGAGACACGUAAGGUUAAACUUUAUGUCUAUUCUCAUUAAUCAACUUGUAAUUCUACAUUACUCCUAACCGACACCAUUAAUUUCUAAUUUAUAUACUCAUUAUUUAGGGUUAUUAGUUGUAACAUCCAUCUUAAUUAUAUGCAAGUUUCAGAUAAAAAAUAAAAAAAAAAAAAAAGAAAGAAAACACUGAUCUUACAUCAUGUAAAAAGACAUGAAAUAUUUAUAUUUUAUUAACCUUUGAUUAUCAAUUUUUCUUAACUCCAAUUUUAUACAUAGAAAGUCCAUUGAAUUGAAAUAAUAAUGUGAAUUACACAAUAUGAUUAGCUAUUUUUUUGAAUAACAUUUAUUAAAUUAGGAUUAACUUAUGUGAUACGAAGGACUUGAGGAAUUUUUUUGAUAAUUUAAAAAAAAAAAAGAAAGAAAAGGACAAGCAUACUUAGUUUUUAUACGAUGAGGAGCACAUUUAUAUAUAUAUAUAUAUAUAUAUAUAUAUAUAUGAUGUUAUUCCAUUUUUCUCUAAUUAAUAUAAUCAAAUAAAGGAAUGAAAUCAUAAUUAAUAAUCCAUGUUGUGUAUUAAAUAUGUAUUGUUCAUUUUUUAUUUCCUUAUGUGUACUGAAAUAUAACAUUUGGGUGAUAAAAUCCAUUAUAAAGAAGUUUAGAAAUAACAUAAUUUCCACGUCAUGGUUUAUGAAAAGAAUUGAAAAAAAUAUUCACAUAUAAAAGCUUAAAACUUUCUUUGAUGGCGAUGUCAAAAGAAAGGUCUCUAAAUAAUUAAUCAAGUAUGUUUCUUUUUCUAGGGUUUUAGUGCAAGUAUCCAUCACCUUCUAAUUAUGAUCAUGAACCAACGGACCAAUUAUUAAUUAAGAACAAAGAAAAAAAUUAAUAAAAAUGAAUGGUCGAAAUUAAAACUCAAAAAUUUUUUUAUUAGAAUUAAAAGAUCAGUCAAUUUCUAAAUUAAAAUCCAAAAGUAAUUGUCAAAUUUAACGUACUGACACAUGUGAUUAUAUGAAUAAUUAGAUAUUGGAUAUACAAUAUUAUAAAAACCUAAGAGUUACAGUCACAUAAAGCCUUGGCUUUAUUUACGUACAACCAAAUUAAUAAUACACAAUUAAAAUACCUUGAAAACAACUUUACCAGUGUGAGCAACUGUAGCUUUCAUUAUCAUAAGUAGCACACUAAUUAGUUAAUUAAGUAUAGUAUAAUUUUCACUUGAGGUCAGAAACGAAAGUUACUCCAGUAGACGGCAACCAAGAGGUUCCAGCAAUAAAAUUACGGACAGUAAAUUUCACAGCCACAUCAGCUCCGAUAACAUGAAAUCCAGGCCAAUUUACUCUGUUAGAAAUUUGAGCUCCAGGGCCAGUAUUCGCAUACUCCGCAAAGUACAACGUCUUACCAUACGAUGCUGCUCCUGGCCACUCGAUCCACCCUCUUGAUGAAAUAGCAUCGUCAAUAUUCGAUUCCAUUAUCACUGACCUCGAAUAUUGCUUCCAGGGCCUGCCUAGAUAGGACUUAAAGUUAUGUUUAACAGGAGAAAAAUCUGAACUUGCUGUAAUCCUGCAAUUUUGUAUUGAAAAUCCUGUAUUUUGUCCAGGAUCUGAUCUUCCGUUUGCUAAAAUUACAUUAUAACUUUCGUGGCUGCUAGGACGUCGAAGGACUAAAUAGCAGUUCUGAAAAACAGCAGCGGCAUUGCCAAAAAUGAAGUCUAUCGUGCCGUAAAUAUCACAUUCUCUGUAAAAUUGACGGAGAGCAAGUGCAUAUAGCGUGUCUUGGUAGCCUGCGAUGCUGCAUCUAUAAAGAACUGACUUAUCUGAUGCGAUGUAUAAAGCUAAGGCUUGUUCUCCUUGUGGUCCUGCUGUGUUUUGGAAUCCAAUAUCUCGAGCUAUGAAUCCAUCGCCUGUAAUUGCUGCCCGACAAACCAAGGAAGAGGAAAAUUUUAAUUCUUGUUUUUCUGUUCUUUUUCUUACAGAGCCGAUUGAUAUUCUGAUAGGAUAGACAUUAGACAAUGUAUAAAGUUAUGUACAAAAGCAUGAAGAAGUCCAAUUUCAAACUUCCGAAACCUGAAGUCUAUAUUGUUGGAAGAGUUUUACCUGAAUAUUGUCUUGGAGCUUGGAACUAGGGUGUGCAGACUAGAAGAAAUGGACUUUAAUUUAAUAAAUUUAAGCAGAGGGGACUUACUGAAAGUGGCGGUAUCAGGCAUGGAAGACCCACCAGCUACACUAUCAUCAUUUGCAAUGAUAGUGGAAUAUUUACCUUCUCCAAUCAAAGUAAUACCAUCUUUAUUAGUUCGAAUUUUCUCGUUAUAAACUCCUGACUUCACGUAAAUCACAAAACGACUCCCCGUAGCAGCCUUUAUAGCAUCCGUAAUCGUUUUAUAGUUGCCUGUUCCGUCUUUUGCAACCACAGCAUUCGCCUUCACGGUGCUAGUUUGAAGUAGUUUUCUAUCUUUCGCCGAUACCCACUUAGGGAAUUCUUUUACUUCUCCUCCUAAACGACGUUUUUUGAUGUUGUUUUUAGCCUUGUUUGUAACUCUGUUGAUAAGGGCUAAAGGAUUGCUGGCCAAUUCAGACAAAUAAUCCAUUUUGGUAGAAAUACGAGAAGUGAGGCCACCGGCCGGGAAACCAAAACUGUCGGCAGAAUCUUUGCAGGCUUGUUGGAAGGUUAAGGCAGCACUUAACCACGAUUGGACGUCGUUUUUGUUCUUUUUUGGUGAUUCUUUUAGUGCCAAAAGUGACUGGUCUAGUCGUUUGAGAGACAUCCUGAUUAACUUUUCACAAUAAUCUGUAAAUGCAUAGUAAAAGUGGGGCUAGUUAGUUGAGAACAUUGAUGUAGACACACAAAACCCAAUUUUCAGGCAACUUCCAUCUAAUUAUCACUAAUUAAAUAAACUUUGUCUCCUUCUUCGGCUGAUAAUUUAAUGAAUAUCGUUUUCAUGAUGCAGUAAUUUAAAUUACGAAUUGAAAUUCUGAUUUUUUUUUUCAAAAAAAAAGUUCUGAUAGGUCAACAAAAAUACUUUGAUUGAAUUUUGAACUAACUAGAAUCGACUAUAUAAAUUACUAUUUUUAAUUUUAUUUUAUAUUCUAGAAAUCGUUGCAAAAUAUUAAAGAAAAAGAGAAAGGUAUACAUGAGAUAUCGAAAAUUGAUAUGUAUUAUUAUCACCUGUGACGGAUUUGGGAUGUUGAGCUUCUUGGACUUCCAACUGAGAGUUGAGUUGUGUUUUGAAGAAGGAAGUGGGCAGCUUAGUCUCUGAAAUAGUUCUUUGAACAAGAGCAGGCACAAUAUGAACAGGGUGAUCUUUUAACUCCAUCAAAGUUUGGAGGCAAAGGGCAGGAAAUCUAGUAAAGUUGCAUUCUUUUUGGAAAUUGGCAUCCACAGAAGCACCUCUUGAACCUAGAAAUUGAAACCCUAGAAGCCAAAAAACAAUCAAAUGUAGCUGUACCAUAUCAAAGAAAUUAAAUGAGCUUAAACAAUAAGCUAAAAAGAGUUUAGCCAAAGGAGGGAUUAGUUAAUUUCAAUGAUCACUUAGCAUAUGGGGGACUAAUAUUUAUAGCGAAGGAAAAAUUCUCUAUGGACACGUUUCUGAUAAGUUUGAAGAGUGUUAGUUAGGUGGUCUAUUUUGUUGAGCCUUAAGUCUUUUUUCUUUUAGCACAGUUGAAUCUUGAGUCUUGACAAAGUACUAAUGGUGCUAAAAAUGUAACUGUCUCACUAUCAAGGGCUGAUACAGAGUGACAUAAAUCUCUUUCUCUUAAUCAGAGAUUUUAAGUUCGAGUCCUAAAAUGAAGUCCUUAAACAUUAAGAAAGAAACGUUUUGUUCCUCAGAGUUUAACUAAAAAUAUCCGCUCCUUUAUGGGUUUGUUCGGUGAGAAUCUGAAUUAGUUGGUUAGUGAGAUUGAACAAUCACUAUUAAAAUUAAAAAAAAAAUGUCCAUGUCUUCUAGCCCACCAUAUGUAUAUAUAAUCUCUCUUUUUUUUUUUUUUUUUUUUUUUUUUUCUGUUGUUCGUCUUAUUAGUCACUUUAUUAACUUUGUCUUCCAGCUAUAAGCAAGUAUAUUAUUGUACAUUUUUGUACUUACGUAUCUCUCUCAAUAGUCAGUAUAUAUGCUCAGGAGUUGGAAAUCGGUUCCUCCUAUACCUACUUCUACAAUAAUAUUUCAUCUAUUGUCUUUUUCUUUUAUGUUAUAUAUAGUUUUAUUUGUAAACAAAUAAAUAGGAAUACUUUUUUUUUCUUUGUGAAAAUGGUUUUCUUUUCUUUAAUUUAGCUUUAAGCCAAAGUUUUUGCAAUUCAUUUAAGUUUGUUUCUCUCCUUUAGUCAAACACGAACUUUUUUUUUUUUUUUAAUUCAUUGGAGACUUUUAUAGGUCAAAAUAACAUUGUGGGCUACAUAACAGGGGUAGCUCUUCCCUUGAUUCACAAAAUUGGUAAAAACAAUUAUGGUUGAGAGAACUCGAACUCGAAACUGCCUACUUCUCAUAUAAGUGAGAAGACCUACCAGACCACCACCUGAUUAAUAGUCAAAGACGAACUAGUGAUUCAUUAGAAUAAUCGAAUUCUAAUUAAUAAAUAAGAUUACGUGUGAACCUACUUACUAAUUGGACUAACUUUUGGGUUUAUGAACAUUUAUUACAUCCAUUAUUAAUAAUUCAAAUACAAAGUAUCUAUCUAAUAGUAAUAGGAUUAGAAAUUCAAAUUAAAAAAAAAUCAUUUCUUCUAUAUGAUUUUUUUCUAAAACCAUACUUAAUUUACAAAAAUUAUUUUGCAGUAAUUUUAUUUAUUACUCAAAAAAAAAUAUAUAGUUUUUAAUCCAAAAGCCAUUAUUGGCAUAAUAUAGUGCCAAGAAUCCAAAACGAGUAGGCUGCCUGAGAAAUUCAGGGACCUUUCUCAAUAUUCUACACUAAAAUUUUGGCAUGCUAUAUUUUAAAAUUAAAAAAAAUAUAUUGAAUUUGCCAAUUUAAAUUUUUAUUUUUACCUUGUUAUUUUUAUACAUUGCGUCCUCGAAUAUUAAUUAGUUAUAUAUAUAUAUAUAUAUAUAUAUAUAUAUAUAUAUAUAUAUAUAUUAUUGAUGCAAGAUGUUAAUUAUGUAUUAAAAUAAGUUUAUCUUUUAAGUAUAAUGAUCAAAAUAAGAUCAUACACGUAAUUAGAAUUUAAUUAUUAGAAGAAAGACAAUGAACUAAGAAUUAAGUGGAUUGACAUAUAUAGAUGGAAGUGGAUAGAACGAGACAUUUCAUAUUUGACAUUUCCAACUCCAAAUUCCUCUACUUUUUGCAAGUUGCAUAUUAUUUCUCCCACGAUGCAUAUCCCAUCAAAAGACAGCUAUCCAACCUUUUAAAAUAGAUAUACUUUAUCCUAAUAUUUAAAGAUUUAUUGCAAUUGUACCAAUUUGAUUAAAAUCACACCAUUACUUUUCCUACUAUUUUCGGUUACUAAAAGAAAAAAAGAGAUUCAAACCGUUAAAACUUUAUUCUUUUAAAUGAAAAUAGUUGUACUUAAGAAACUAGAAAUGAAUCUUUCGUUAAUUACUCACCGUAAAUUUGUUAAUCGUACGUCACACCUUAAUUUCAAAGAAGAAAUUAUGAGAUUUCUUGCUAUAAUUCAUUUAAUCAUACACCUUUCCUUAAUUGAUUUGACAUAGUGGGAGUUGAAAGCGAGGUUAGAACAAAAGUACAACAAAAAAAACAUUUCGAAAUUCCUUGAGAUAGUGGGCAUGGAACUAAUAAUCCAUAACUUGAAAUUGAUGUUUCUUAUCAUACAAUAUAUAAUAAAUUUAUUUUUCUUUUGUUUAUUUUUGUGUUUACAAUAAUGUAUUAACCAAUUUUCACAACCUUAGAAAUAAAACUCAAAAAAAAAAAAAAAAAAAAGCAUGUUAAUGAUUUGGAUUUUGAAUACAGAUUCCAGUGAAUUCUUCAUAAUUCUCCAUAUUGGAAUUGUCAUCAUCGUAGGUAUAAAGUCUAAUCAACGUAAACGAUGAUAAACAAAUGCAAAUCCAAAUGCUAUGGCCCUUUUAAACAGUGUUAAUACUGUUAAACUCAUCAUGCUUUAACACACUUGGCUUAUAAAUAAAAAUUAGGAAGUGUUAAAUCUUGAUUUAUUUAUAUCAAUUUCAAUCAUCAGUCGCUUAUAAACUCACGUCUAUACGGACCCAUAAAUUUUAAUAUAAUAUUCAAAUUUUAUGCCGACAUGAUUCGAAUUUUCAGACACAUGUUCAAGCCGAGCAAACUGAUUAAAAAUAUACUGGUAAGUGUCAAUAAGAGUCAUAAUGAUAGCCAAAUGAAGGCCAGUGGGAUUAUACUUAUAGAACAUCUCACAUCACAUGCUAUAAACUUUAACAAAUAUUAAUAAAAGCAGCAGACACGAUGGGGCGCCCUAUGAGAAAGAAAAACUCCGACAAGACAAAAAUAAUACAAACUGUUACCUUGUACCUAAUACAAAAUUUGUUACUCUCUCUUUAGUUUAGAAAACAUCUCUGUAAAUCUCACUUCACCUUCUACUUUUACUACAAAUUUGUUAAUUUACAUUUGUUAGAAGCAUCCGGUAAUUUAUCCAGGCUUAUAUAUAUAUGCAGUGUACUUAGUUAAUAAGAAUUAAUUAACAGUUGGUGUGUUUUUGUUGAAGCUGACAACAUUUUUUCUCUUCUGGGUUUGUUAGCAGAUUCUGUAUGAAAUCUGCAUGUUUAGAACUAAUGGCUAUUAAGACUAAUUAUGCGAAAAUAAAUAAAAAGAUAUGGCUUUUUUUUUUAAAAAAAAACGUAUAUAUAUAAUAUAAUUACGUUGUGACUUCUUUAUUCGUAAAGUUAAACAUAUUGGAUAAAAUCAAUAAUUUGCAGAAUAAAUUAGCGAAAAUUUACAGAUUACUGUUAAAAAAAAACAGUAAAGUCAUCAUUACAGAUCCAACUGCUGAACGCUACGAUCAAUCACGGAUGAAUAAUAUUAUUAUAAAUAUAAUGGAGAUAAAUAUAAUAAAAUAAAUGAAUUAUGGAGUAUAUGGGAUGGGGUUGGUCUCAUUGGUGAUUACCGUUAGUGGAGGCGAGCAGAUUGGACAAAUUAAUGACGAGACAUAAGAAAAAAAUAAUAGCUAUGGCUUUUUCCUUGCGGACAAUGGCACGUGCCUUAAACAACAAACAAAGUUUGUUUAAAUGCUUUUAGGCUGAUCAUAAAUUGGUAACGAGGAAUUUUACAUUUUUCUUCUUUAAAUAAAACGGAGGGAUCCAUCUUCGUAAAUGAAACAAAUAUUAGUUAUAAUCCAUUGAACUGAGAAUACACGCGAUUAAUGCCAAAAGUGGAAAAAAAAAAAAAAGAUGAAGUAUAAUUUGUCAUGCAUUGAUAAAAUUCUCACGGUUUUGUCUUGUAAGUGAAAUGAGGAACUUUUCAAAAAAUUACAUGUCCUACGAUUUCGAUUAAAUGAGUAGGUUUGACUUUGUAUUUCUUCCAAUUCUCUAAGUCAUUCCACCAAAACACAUAUCUGAUGUUUAAUUUCCCUUUUUUCGAUAUAUGAUUUGAUUUAUUCAUGUGUCCCAUAUUUCGCUUUAUAUAGCUCGCCUGCCAUUCUAGAAGCUAGCCAAAAGUUUUGCUCCGCCCGUCUUCUUAGGAUUGCUUUACCGGGUUAGGAUGUCACAUAGCAAAUAUUAACCAGUUCAUAGCAAAUUAACUGAACUACUUCUAUACACCAAUCUUUUGCAAACAUGAUGUGUCGUUUUUGCUGCAUUCAGUAAUUCUUAAUUCUCGAAAAACUAUAACAAAAUAUUAAAUUUAUAUAAAUGUUAGUCAAGAUAUUUCAUUAAGGGAAUUUAUGCAUCAAGUGGUAUUUUUUUUUUUUCUUUUUUGUUAGCAUAAACUCUUUACCUUUCAUUGUAAUUUAAUUUUAUAUUUUAGGGAGAUAAUUUCUUACAAUGAAAUUAAUAAUUUAGCAAUCAAAUACUUGUUUAAUGAAGUAAUUUAUCUUAAUUAAACUUCAAAUUCAUUUCUUUCUUUAUAUCCAUUAAACAAAAAGAAAAAAAAAAAAAAAGCAUCUACCAAGAUUAGGGAUACAAUAUUAUUGGGCGGUGGGAGAGUAGUAGAAAAGAGGAAUAGGUCAAAUUAGGUAAAUGGUGAUAGAAAAAGAGAAGUGUUGGGACUUUUUAUAAUCUUUGGCUAAAUGGUGUUUCCACUACUGGAAAUUUCUAUUGGUUUGUUUAGAAUCUUACUUAAAAACUCACAUAUCAAUUUUCAAACAGAGUAGGACCAAUCGCAUUUUAUAAUUUUCAAAAUCAUGAUUUUGAUUAAUUAAUUUUAUGAUACCCUUAAUUAAUUUACUCGAGUCAAACGAUAAGUUUUACAAAACAGGGUGCACAAGCAACUAUAUUAUUUCAAUUCAAUAAUCUCUAACCAAAAUUUUAAACACAAUUCACAUUUUCCCAACAACAAAUCAAAUGGAACAUACACUAGUACAUAAUCAACUUAAAAGAUUGGAAAUUGCCAGAAAGUUACUGCACAACUUACUGAAAUACAAAUUUCUAUUAGCAAAUGGAGAUCCAUAGCCACUUUCCUCAAAUCCUUCUUCACAAGUAUCUGAAUCGGUCAUUGCAGAGCUAACUAAUGUCUUCAAUGUAUCUAAGGAUCUAAUUCUUAGAGCUUCAAUUGCCUCUUGAAGAUCUUCAACAGCAUCAUUAUAUUGCUCUACGCAGUCACUUAAGCAACUAGAGUUGGUGUCAUUCUUACUGGUUUUAGUCUUUAGAUCACUAAUGUGGGUUAAUGUUUCCGACCCAUAUGCUAUGCUAAUAUUAAGUGCAAUAUUAGCUAGCCCUCGUAGAUCUGCUGUUUUGCUGUUAGGAUCAGAUCUUAAGGAAAAGACGCAUUCUUGAUAGUAAAGGGUGUGGUUGCAUGUAGAAGAAAUCAAGUCUUUACUAUUGUUUUCUUUGGAAUAUUGCAAUCUUGAAGAAUAACCUAAGAAAAUGAAAUAACUCAUCAAGAAUAAGUAAUUAGCUAAUGAAAGAGAGGGCCUGAUUUUAGAUGAAGCCAUCACUAUUUCUUUCUAUUUGUGUGUAGGGUUUUUCGAGAAAGUUGCAACAUGAGAGUUAUAUAUUAACCAUUGUAUGGAAAUUGAAAAAAGAAAAUGGGAGAGAGACAAUCUGGUUAGGAUUCAAAAUUGAGAGGGUUCAGUUUUGUCUUAGUGGCAAUCUUGAUGUCUUCUGUUUGUCUGAAUUGAUGAGUGAAUUUUAAUGUUUGUGUGGCAUUUAGUGGCUGUCCUUUGAAUCACGAAUAACACUUUUAUAUAUAAUUACAGGAAGUUAAAAACAGAUGUGUACUUAUGAAAUUGAAUAAAGAUCCAAUGUAUAUACAUAGAGACAAAGUUUCCCAUUAACCGUCUAUCUAGGCCUGCACAGGAAUUGAAGAACGAUGCAAAUAAAUUAUGUCCUUAAUAUGUUAACUUAUAUUCACAGUAAAAUCUUUGAAAAAAAAAAAAAAAAAAAACACACCAACUUAAAACCAUAUAUUAAUACAUUUUGGUUUUGGGUAACAUGUACAAUGGAGCUUCCAGCCCAGCCCAGGUCCAUCCAUAUUUAUCAAGUAUAUAAAAUAUAUUCCUCAACCAAAGUGCUCAACUCUUUAAAAUAAAACCAUCAAUCAGAUAUUCUUACGCAGAUGUUCAAUAAUCAGAAUUGAAGCCGUUUUAUGUAUUGACAAGCAAAAUUGAAAACUUGACAAGUACAAUUCAUUUUCCUAUUUGCAAAAAUGCUCUGCUCUCUCUGCCUUUGAGAUCUAUACCAGCUAUACAUCAAGACUUAUCCGCUACAUCAACUAUACAUGAGACUCCUGCUUUUCUAUUAUUUCCUUGUAAUUUUCCCUUUCCUCCUAAAUAAUGAGAACCCAUAUCCAUCCGUUUUUCAAAUAUUUGGGUUUACAAACAACACAACAGCAGCUCCUCUUUUUCAAACUUCUCUCUCUGAGUCAUUCUGAUAUUACACGUCCACAGAAGAGCUACUGACCAAUUCUAACUUUAACCAUUACUUGAAAAAAUCUACUUUAGUAUUGAAGGGACCUAUUCGGGUUUUUCCCAUUUCUCUAGCGGCCGCCUCGGGUACAUGAUUAUUGCCAACAAUGAAGAGAAUGCAAGACCAACUAUCCCGCUGAAAGGUUGAAAUGGGUGAGUCCCCGUUACCCACAGGGGAUAGUUGGAUGUAUAGGUCAAUAGGCCGCUUGUUUGCAAAAUAAAACUUGAAGCCAUUAUCCCUGCACGCAAUCCAAUUGGAAUGGAAAGGCUACCUUGGCUUCUUUGCCGAAAUCCUGCCAGAGCUAAAGAUAAAAGCCAAAGCCCCGGUAUUGACCACAGUGACCUAAAAACCAAUCAGAAGAAAAAAGUUGACUGUGAUGACAUGUCAAUGAUAUGUGGAGUGGGAAAUAAAAAUUUAUCUACCAUGAAUAGUAAUAACGUUUGUUGAGUAAAAGGAAAAUAAAAUGAGAGGAAAUGAAGAAUGUGCCUUGUAAUAUAAUGCUAACUGCGAAGAGAAAAAGGCAUUAUUAUUUUCAUAUAUUAAUACAUUUUGGUUUUGGGUAACAUGUACAAUGGAGCUUCCAGCCCAGCCCAGGUCCAUCCAUAUUUAUCAAGUAUAUAAAAUAUAUUCCUCAACCAAAGUGCUCAACUCUUUAAAAUAAAACCAUCAAUCAGAUAUUCUUACGCAGAUGUUCAAUAAUCAGAAUUGAAGCCGUUUUAUGUAUUGACAAGCAAAAUUGAAAACUUGACAAGUACAAUUCAUUUUCCUAUUUGCAAAAAUGCUCUGCUCUCUCUGCCUUUGAGAUCUAUACCAGCUAUACAUCAAGACUUAUCCGCUACAUCAACUAUACAUGAGACUCCUGCUUUUCUAUUAUUUCCUUGUAAUUUUCCCUUUCCUCCUAAAUAAUGAGAACCCAUAUCCAUCCGUUUUUCAAAUAUUUGGGUUUACAAACAACACAACAGCAGCUCCUCUUUUUCAAACUUCUCUCUCUGAGUCAUUCUGAUAUUACACGUCCACAGAAGAGCUACUGACCAAUUCUAACUUUAACCAUUACUUGAAAAAAUCUACUUUAGUAUUGAAGGGACCUAUUCGGGUUUUUCCCAUUUCUCUAGCGGCCGCCUCGGGUACAUGAUUAUUGCCAACAAUGAAGAGAAUGCAAGACCAACUAUCCCGCUGAAAGGUUGAAAUGGGUGAGUCCCCGUUACCCACAGGGGAUAGUUGGAUGUAUAGGUCAAUAGGCCGCUUGUUUGCAAAAUAAAACUUGAAGCCAUUAUCCCUGCACGCAAUCCAAUUGGAAUGGAAAGGCUACCUUGGCUUCUUUGCCGAAAUCCUGCCAGAGCUAAAGAUAAAAGCCAAAGCCCCGGUAUUGACCACAGUGACCUAAAAACCAAUCAGAAGAAAAAAGUUGACUGUGAUGACAUGUCAAUGAUAUGUGGAGUGGGAAAUAAAAAUUUAUCUACCAUGAAUAGUAAUAACGUUUGUUGAGUAAAAGGAAAAUAAAAUGAGAGGAAAUGAAGAAUGUGCCUUGUAA
rnacentral:lncRNA from 1 species